GACUGGAAAUAUACUUGGUCGGGGGUGGCGGGGGUGGGGUGUGGGGGUGAGGGCUGGGGGAAGCUGCUAAGAUCAUGGAUUUGCUUGGAGGCCCCAAUCUCACCUGCUGGGGCCGCCUCCGAGGCGUCAGGGGGCUGCAGGGUCAUGGAGGAGGCGCUGCCCUCUCGCGAUAGGAGAUAGACAUUGCGCCGUGGGGACGCCGCUGCCUCCAUGCAGGUGCCGCUCCUACAGGCUUCCCUCCAGCUGGCCCUUCCUGCCAGGCCCUGGGACCACAGGUUCUCACUUUAUAGGUCGUGCCUCGGUUUAAGAGCAGGUCCAGGCCUCCCUACUGCCCUGCCCAAGUGUUACUUGUUAGAAAAUCAUGCCGGAUCACAGGCGGGCACUUCCUUCCUAACCUACUUAAGGGCUGGCUGCUAAUUAUAACCAUGAACCAAGGACGCUGCUCUCUGGAGCCGGCCCCGUUCUCACCACGGCCAUCACAGCCUGGGCUUGGCAAGGGAGCUCUGCAGGUCCAGACAGGGCGACCCUCUGUUCAAUCCCCCAUUAAGCAAAGAUGCACUGGGCACUCUCUCCUUGCCAAGAGCUAGGCCAGCACGGGGCCGAUGUUGGGCAGCCACCGCCCCAUCCCCAAGCAGUCACCAGACAGUUCUGGGCACAAGAGCACACAGGAAGCUCAUGGUGCCAGUGCUGUGGGACCCCAGGCCCAGGGACACUCCUCCCGGGGCCCACCCAGCUUUAUUUCAGUGGUGACACGAGACACCUGCGGGGCGCCCUGGAACGCCCACCAGGAGACGACCUGGCCCUCUUCCAGUUCCCCAGGAUUGCAGUCUGGCUUCUCCCGUCUGAGUCCUUGACCUGCCCAUGGCCAGACCACGGGUCCCUGAGGACCGCAAACAGCUUGGCUCUGCUUUGGGGUCCUGAGGAUGGACGCAGGGCUUGUGCACAGAUGUGUGCAGAUGAAACUGAUUAUGGAAAAAUACCUCAGGCUCCUGACCUCCACAUGCCCCUCUCAGCAUCGCUGUCACCCCAAACUACGACCUCCUGGGGUGUCAUCCACCCAGGCCCUCAGUGCCCUGCUCAGGGCUGGCCCGGACAUCGGCAGCCAAACUCCUCUUUCUGUCCAGCGAACCAGCUCAUGAGGGGAAUCACUUGAGCCCAUGAGCCACUCCUCCUUUCGCGCCUGCCUGCUGCACAGAACACAUCCUUUGACAUCCAUCUCCUCUGUAGGGCCAGUGGGCUCCAUGCCUGCUGGGCUCACCUGGAGGCCCAGCCCCCUGCCAGUGCCUGAACCCUAAGAUGUGCUUGGGGAACAGGAUGAACCUAUGCAUCUCACUCUGACCCGCAACCACCUUCCCCUCAGCAUGCGACAGUAGCAUCCAGCCAUCUCAGCACCUCCCAUGGUGUCCUUCUGGAAGCCUCUGAGCUUAUCCCUCUGAGCUCCCCACGGGCUGUCUGAGCAAAGCCCUGUGGCAUGCUGCAUCUUCAAAGGUGACGAUUACAACAACCGUUCUUACAUGCUCUCCUACAACACUGUGUCGACCCUUCUCCUAUUACCUGAUGGGGUCUAAAGCCCCUCACCUUGAACCUGGCUGGACCUCUGCAACUGCUUUGACCAAAAGGAUAUGACAGAAAAGACACCAGGCAGCUUCCAAGCUGGGUCAUCAAAUACCCCCAGCUUCUGCCUUGCUUUCUUAGGAUGCUCAUUCUGGGAACCCGGCAGCCAUGCUGGGACGAAGCUCAAACCACUCCACGCUGUGACCACGCAUGGAGCCCACAUGCCGCUAUUCUGGCAGAAGGACCACAGAAGUCCCCACGGAUGGCCAGCAAGAAGUUUCAGCAAAGACGCCUGUGGAGGAUUCUGGCUCCCAGCUCUUGAGUCACUCUCAGCCUUUGGGUCAGCCCAGUGAAACCACAGACAUUGUGGAGAGGAGACAAGGCAUACCCACUGUGCCCUUUCUGAAUGGCAGCCCCUCCCAACCCAUGAAUGUAACAGGAUGUUUGUCUUAUGUCACUGAGGCUUGGGGUGGUUUGUUAGGCAGCCAUUGAAAACCAGAAUGCCACCACAGUGAUGGCCCCAGACAUCAAAAGACCUCUUUGCAAAGCUUUUGCUCACAUCGUUUCUAUGCAGCUCUCUCUGUGCAUGCCCCCCAAGGGCAGGAACCCCAUCCCACCCUGCUGAGAAGCUCCCCCUCCAAACCCAAGGCUGGCCACCUCCUCCUCACUCUCCGAUCCCACUUCUGCUAUCCACACAUGGGCUUACACAAGAUGCCCAGGAACGGGUUCUCUAAAUCCGUGGGUUUCCACUUGGGGACCCUGGGGAUUUUGCAAGGGGUCUGUAUAUGCAUUUGCACACCAUGAUUGUCUGCAGACAAAUGGCUCGAUCUAUGUUGCACAUCCGGGGACUAUGGUUUUCAGUUGUAGGUAGAUGCUCAAGGGAUUUUUAAAAAAUGAAGGCUGCUAGAAAGUGUUACAAAAUCCCCAGGUGCCUUUGUUACUGAAUAGUUCUUAAGCAAUAUAAUGAUUGGAUAUAGCACGAGGAUGUGAGUUCAUUGAGAAAGGGGUCUUCACUCUCUGGAAGGUUAGGUGGCUCAUAACACAGAUCACAGCAGCUUCCCUGCUCUGGAGAAACAGCUCCAAAAAAAUACUAGGUUCCAAACUGUUCCUGAUCUAAUUUCUGGAACUUGCCCACCAAGCAAAAAGUUAGGUUUGAUGAGGAUAGCAGUUUAUAGUUUACAAAUAAGCCUUAUGCAUUUUAUCUCUGCUCAUACAAAAACUCCCUGGUAUAGACAGUAGGAGAGGGGACUCAGUGGCGACGCCUGGUCUCCUCACCAUCUCUGCACAGCCUGGCUCCAGACCUCUCUAGAGACAGUAAAGUCACUUUCUCCACAGCCAAAGUCCCAAGAGGAGGCACUUGCCGUUUUGAUCCAAGAAGGGAAAUGCCCUUCAAAUCCUGGCGUGACCUUGCCUGGAAUCUUCACAGCCACUCUUGGAGGUAGAUAUUCUUUUGCCCAUUUGGCAGAGUUGGAAGCUUAGAGAGGUUUAGUGACCAGCCCAAAGCCACACGGUGAGGAGUGGCAGAGCAAGGAUUCAAGCCCAAGUCUGCCUUUCUUCAGCUACCUAUUUCCAAAGAAAGCUGCUACUAACCGAUUUGCAGCCCACUGCCCCUGCCCACUGCAAGUCACACCUACAGACUCCACCCACCACAGACUCCACCCACAGCAGAUUCUCCUGCUUCAGGAUCCACUCACCAGACUCCACCCACUGCAGACUCCACCUACCACAGGCUCCACGCACUGACUCCACCCACUGCAGACUCCACCCACUGCAGACUCCACCCACUGCAGACUCCACCUACCACAGGCUCUACUAAGACUCCACCCACCAGAGGCUCCACCCCCAGCAGACUCCACUCACUGCAGUGCCACCACUGCAGCCUUCCUUCCUCUCAGCCUUGCCUGGGAUCCACCAACCUUUCCUCUGGCCCCAAAGACUGCUUCUUCUCCCAUAUCCUGUGAUCAUCAUUCUCCUAGGCUCGACCGAGAAGACCUAACCGUACUGGGAUGACUGUAUUAUCUCCUGGGCAUGUUUCCAGAAGCCAGCUCCACUUACUCUAAAUUCAAGCAGGGUGUCCUGGCCAAUUCCCAUGUGGACCUCUCUCCUAUCCCCCCACGCAGCGUCCUGUUGGCCCAGCUGCUCACCGUGGGAAGAGAUGAUGGGUUGUCCCCACCCCAGUGAUCAACUGUAAAGCUCAGGACAGUUCAAGGGAAUCAAGCCCCACAUUCUCUGGGCUUCAUGCAGGACAUCACAGCCAAACAUCAGCCCCAGGAAGAGGAGCCCUGGUGAUUUUCAGAGGCCUGUGUUAUGAUCCAGGCCAGCCCUGCUAGCUCCAGGCCACAUGCUCCCAGGAAAGUCAUCACCUCUGGAGCCUCUCCCUGCCAUCUGCGCAGGAAGGCCGCGGCUGUACUGAGCUUUUGGUGAUAUGGUGAGAAUCAGAGGCCGAGGCUGGACCCUGAGCCCAGCACAUAGCAUGAGCUCAACACACGCCAGGGCUUAGGGAUCCUUGCACACUGACUGCCAUCUGGGGAGACGCCAGAGGACAGUUCCAGAAGAGCACUCCACACUCAUGUCUAGAGGCCCUUGAGAGCUCAGGCAGGAGCUGGCCCCAUGAGGCUCGUCCUCCAAUCCCACAGGGUUGUAGGGAGGCCUCUGUCUUGCUGGAAAACUUGGGAUGCAAAAGCUGACCAGGUGAGGGGAUCUGUCUGUUGUCCACCUGGGCCCACUGAUGGGGUGACCUUCAGCAAGUCAGGGCACCUCUCUGAAACAGGACAAGCCUCUGGCUUUGUCUACAGUCCCAUGGUGCCAGGGAUCCCCUAGAGACCUGUGCUGGGCCUGGGGAACAAGUGGCCCAGCAAGCCUCAGGCUGUCCCAGGACACUUUUGUCCUGGCACGAUCACUGGUCUCAAACGUGUCUCAGGGUGGGGUGUGGGGCUGAAGAGCGCCCCAAUCUCACUUCUGAGGUGAGGUGAGUUGGGGAUGCUGGGUAUGGAAGGAUCUAGAAGCCCAAAGGAGGCUGGAGAGAGCGUGUAGUCUUGUGGCACAGGUCUCGGGCUUCCUUCUUUUUUUUUUUUUUUGAGACAGAGUCUCGCUCUGUUGCCCAGGCUGGAGUGCAGUGGCAUGAUCUUGGCUCACUGCAACCUCCGCUUCAUGGGUUCAAGUGAUUUGCCUCCCUUAGCCUCCUGAGUAGCUGGGAUUAUAGGCGCGUGCCACCACACCGGGAUAAUUUUUGUAUUUCUAGUAGAGAUGGGGUUUCACCAUGUUGGUCAGGCUGGUCUUGAACGCCUGACCUCAUGAUCCGCCCACCUGGGUCUCCCAAAGUGCUGGGAUUACAGGUGUGAGCCAUCGUGCCCAGACUGGGCUUCCUUCUUACUAAACAAUCUUAAAAUCACCAAAGAAAAUGAUUCCAUUUUCUUGAUACUUUGCACAGUGCUGCAAAUAACAGUGACACUGUCUUUUAAAAAACAAACAAACAAUCAAACAAACAAUUUCCUCUUGGGCCCUGGCUCCAGAGGGCUUGGUUGCUUGGACCCUUUGUGAAGUUGGGGCUUUUGCGAGGCUGAAACUCCACUAGCCCCGAGUGAGCCUAAGGGGUCAGGGGAGGGGUUCCCAGCCCAGUGGGAAGAGCAGACCCUUCGCCUCCACUCAGAUCUGGGGUGCGUGCUCAAGUCCUGCGGGUGGAAGUGUCCUACAGCUCCUUCCGGCAUGAAAUCCCUGUGAUUUCCCUAUUUUGAGGCAGGGGUCCAUGAGGACAAAGUCACUCUUGGCCACAAAUAGGCUCUGUUCACAGAGCGACAGGCACAGACGUCGGGCAGCAGGGUCCCUGGCGGCCCCCAGAGCCCGAGAGGAGCCUCUCCUAUGGGAGGCAGGAAGAGAAAAACAGCCCAGCGGCCACGCUGCCCCUUCCUCCCAGAAGAGGACGUGGCAGGAAGCAAGAGCGGUGCCAGCAGGGAGCUCGAGCCAUCUCUGUGGGCUGAACCGGGACCCCCAGAUGCCCAUGUUGAAGUCCUAACCCCCGGACCUCGGCAAGUGACUGUGUUCGGAGACAGGGCCUUCAAAGGUGUCGUUAUGCAUGGGAGACCAGAGGGAACCCGACAUGAAGACGUGGGAGAAGAUGGCGACUUAGAUGCCAGGAGAGGGGCCCUGGGACGGGUCCUUCCUUGCAGCCUCAGAAGGAGCCAGCCCUGCCCGCACCUUGAUCUGGGACUUCUGGCCUCCAGAAGUGUGGGAGGAUGCACAUCUGCCAGUCCAGCCCCCAUCUGUGUGCUCUGUCGUGGGAGCGUGGGAAACCAGCAGGAGCACUUCUCAGCUUACCGUGCAGGUCCGUCCUGAUGAACCCGGGGCAAGCUCGUGACAUCACUAAGUUGAGACUUCACUGACUGCACCUAACCUAGCGACCAUCACAGCUCAGCUCAGCCUACCGGAAACAUGCUCAGAACACCUACGCCAGCCUACAGCUGGGCACACACAUCUAACGCAAAGCCUGUUUUAUAAUACAAUGUUGACCGUCUCACGUAAGAGUACUGUACCGCAGAUUGCUAGCUCAGAGAAAGAUCGAAAUUCAAAAUUCAAAGUAUGGUUUCUACUGAAUGCAUAUUGUUUUUGCAACAUUAUAAAAUCAAAAAACGAUAGUCC